CUGUAGUAGAAAGCAGAUGCUUUAAUCUCACCUAGCACAUCGAGAAGACAUCAUCUGGCAUUUGGAUAAAGAAUUACUCUGCUGGAAAAAUGCCUUAUCAAUUGAAGAUUUUCAAGUGGUUUUCAGAAGAGAACGCCAACAGUCUGAAAUGGAAUCUCAGUGUGGAGUCUCAUUUCUUGUGAAGCAGGAAUUAGAGAUGCUGGGAGGCUGUGGGACAGAACUGCCCCCAGCAGUCUCAAAAGUCACUUCCAUAAAUGAGGUAAUGACAUCUUCUCUGUGCCUGUGAAGCUGAUUAUGUUAUGAGGUGAUGCUUUUAGACUGUAGGUGGGAGGACUGAGAGAAGACUUGUGAUGUAGUAAGACUAGCUUGAAGAGCAUAGUGGUAUGUUUUCUGUGUGCUUGUGAAGCCUGACCUAGACAAAGCAAUAGCCGCUUAUAGCACCUAGUGCAUGUGAUGUAGCAUAAAGCGAUGGAUCUUGG
ensembl:lncRNA